UGGGCGUAGCGCGCGCAGGCGGUUUCUUAAGUCUGAUGUGAAAGCCCCCGGCUCAACCGGGGAGGGUCAUUGGAAACUGGGGAACUUGAGUGCAGAAGAGGAGAGUGGAAUUCCACGUGUAGCGGUGAAAUGCGUAUAGAUGUGGAGGAACACCAGUGGCGAAGGCGACUCUCUGGUCUGUAACUGACGCUGAGGAGCGAAAGCGUGGGGAGCGAACAGGAUUAGAUACCC
rnacentral:rRNA from 1 species